UGGGGAAUUUUGGACAAUGGGGGAAACCCUGAUCCAGCCAUCCCGCGUGUGCGAUGAAGGCCUUCGGGUUGUAAAGCACUUUUGGCAGGAAAGAAACGUCGCGGGUUAAUACCCCGCGGAACUGACGGUACCUGCAGAAUAAGCACCGGCUAACUACGUGCCAGCAGCCGCGGUAAUACGUAGGGUGCAAGCGUUAAUUGGAAUUACUGGGCGUAAAGCGUGCGCAGGCGGUUCGGAAAGAAAGAUGUGAAAUCCCAGAGCUUAACUUUGGAACUGCAUUUUUAACUACCGGGCUAGAGUGUGUCAGAGGGAGGUGGAAUUCCGCGUGUAGCAGUGAAAUGCGUAGAUAUGCGGAGGAACACCGAUGGCGAAGGCAGCCUCCUGGGAUAACACUGACGCUCAUGCACGAAAGCGUGGGGAGCAAACAGGAUUAGAUACCCUGGUAGUCCACGCCCUAAACGAUGUCAACUAGCUGUUGGGGUCUUCGGACCUUGGUAGCGCAGCUAACGCGUGAAGUUGACCGCCUGGGGAGUACGGUCGCAAGAUUAAAACUCAAAUGAAUUGAC
rnacentral:rRNA from 1 species